rnacentral:rRNA from 1 species
GACGAACGCUGGCGGCGUGCUUAACACAUGCAAGUCGAACGGUAAGGCCCUUCGGGGUACACGAGUGGCGAACGGGUGAGUAACACGUGGGUGAUCUGCCCUGCACUUCGGGAUAAGCCUGGGAAACUGGGUCUAAUACCGGAUAGGACCACUGCCUGCAAGGGUGGUGGUGGAAAGCUUUUGCGGUGUGGGAUGGGCCCGCGGCCUAUCAGCUUGUUGGUGGGGUGAUGGCCUACCAAGGCGACGACGGGUAGCCGGCCUGAGAGGGUGACCGGCCACACUGGGACUGAGAUACGGCCCAGACUCCUACGGGAGGCAGCGGUGGGGAAUAUUGCACAAUGGGCGCAAGCCUGAUGCAGCGACGCCGCGUGAGGGAUGACGGCCUUCGGGUUGUAAACCUCUUUCAGCACCGACGAAGCGCAAGUGACGGUAGGUGCAGAAGAAGGACCGGCCAACUACGUGCCAGCAGCCGCCGUAA